CCCUUAGAUGUUCUCGGCCGCACACGCGCUACACUGAAAGAGGCAACGUGUUUGCCUGAUUCGAAAGAAUUGGGUAACCCCCUAAUCUCUUUCGUGCUGGGGAUUGAGGUUUGCAAUUAUCCUUCAUGAACGAGGAAUUCCCAGUAAGUGCGAGUCAUAAGCUUGCGCUGACUACGUCCCUGCCCUUUGUACACACCGCCCGUCGCUACUACCGAUUGAAUGAUUUAGUGAGGACUUCGGACUGGGACCGAUGCGGCUUUCGGGCUGCGUCGGUAUUCUGGAAAGAUGUCCAAACUGUAUCAUUUAGAGGAAGUAAAAGUCGUAACA
rnacentral:rRNA from 1 species